AUUGAACGCUGGCGGCAUGCUUUACACAUGCAAGUCGAACGGUAACAGGGAGCUUGCUCCGCUGACGAGUGGCGAACGGGUGAGUAAUGCGUCGGAACGUGCCGAGUAGUGGGGGAUAACGCAUCGAAAGGUGUGCUAAUACCGCAUACGAACUGAGGUUGAAAGUGGGGGACCUUCGGGCCUCACGCUAUUCGAGCGGCCGACGUCUGAUUAGCUAGUUGGUGAGGUAAAGGCUCACCAAGGCGACGAUCAGUAGCGGGUCUGAGAGGAUGAUCCGCCACACUGGGACUGAGACACGGCCCAGACUCCUACGGGAGGCAGCAGUGGGGAAUUUUGGACGAUGGGCGCAAGCCUGAUCCAGCCAUGCCGCGUGUGUGAAGAAGGCCUGCGGGUUGUAAAGCACUUUCAGUAGGGAGGAAGGGUGUUGUGUUAAUAGCACAGCAUUUUGACGUUACCUACAGAAGAAGCACCGGCUACCUCUGUGCCAGCCGCCGCAGUAAAAC
rnacentral:rRNA from 1 species